AACGCACCUUGCGCUCCUUGGUAUUCCGAGGAGCAUGCCUGUUUGAGUGUCAUUAAUAUAUCAACCUCUUCGGCUUAUGCUUGUUGAGUGUUGGAUGGUGGGGGUUUUGCUGGUGUCUUAUGAAGUCAGCUCCCCUGAAAUGCAUUAGCGGAACAAUUUGUUGACCGUUCAUUGGUGUGAUAAAAUAUCUACGCUAUUGACGUCAGUCAGUUUAGCUUCUAACAGUCCAUUGACUUGGACAAAUUUUCAUUAAUGUGACCUCAAAUCAGGUAGGACUACCCGCUGAACUUAA
rnacentral:misc_RNA from 1 species